rnacentral:tRNA from 1 species
GGUUGUAUCUCAGUGGUAGAGUGCUUGCCUUGCAUGCAUGAGACCCUGGAUUCGACCCCCAGCACCA